GAUGAACGCUGGCGGCGUGCCUAAUACAUGCAAGUCGAGCGAACAGACGAGGAGCUUGCUCCUCUGACGUUAGCGGCGGACGGGUGAGUAACACGUGGAUAACCUACCUAUAAGACUGGGAUAACUUCGGGAAACCGGAGCUAAUACCGGAUAAUAUAUUGAACCGCAUGGUUCAAUAGUGAAAGACGGUUUUGCUGUCACUUAUAGAUGGAUCCGCGCCGCAUUAGCUAGUUGGUAAGGUAACGGCUUACCAAGGCAACGAUGCGUAGCCGACCUGAGAGGGUGAUCGGCCACCCUGGAACUGAGACACGGUCCAGACUCCUACGGGAGGCAGCAGUAGGGAAUCUUCCGCAAUGGGCGAAAGCCUGACGGAGCAACGCCGCGUGAGUGAUGAAGGUCUUCGGAUCGUAAAACUCUGUUAUUAGGGAAGAACAAAUGUGCAAGUAACUAUGCACGUCUUGACGGUACCUAAUCAGAAAGCCACGGCUAACUACGUG
rnacentral:rRNA from 1 species